rnacentral:rRNA from 1 species
CGGGAGGCAGCAGUUAGGAAUCUUCCACAAUGGGCGAAAGCCUGAUGGAGCGACGCCGCGUGAGGGAUGAAGGCCCUCGGGUUGUAAACCUCUAAAAGGGGGACGAUAAUGACGGUACCCCUUGAAAAGCACCGGCUAACUCCGUGCCAGCAGCCGCGGUAAUACGGAGGGUGCAAGCGUUAUCCGGAAUCACUGGGCGUAAGGGGCGUGUAGGCGGCCUGUUAAGUCCGAUGUUAAAGACCGGGGCUCAACCCCGGCACGGCGUUGGAUACUGGCAGGCUAGACGGCUGGAGAGGAAAGUGGAAUUACCAGUGUAGCGGUGGAAUGCGUAGAUACUGGUAGGAACACCCAUUGCGAAGGCAGCUUUCUGGACAGCCCGUGACGCUGAGGCGCGAAAGUGUGGGGAGCAAACCGGAUUAGAUACCCGGGUAGUCCACGCCCUAAAC